AUACACAUCUGGCAGGGGAGAUACCAUGACCAUGAAGAUGAUUUUCCCAAGGUGAGGUUCACCCACUGCUCUUCAGGUGUGCUGACGACCCCUGCAAUUUCUGCAAAGAUAAGGUACAUGCAGAAGAAAAAAGACUGCUGAAUAUAUAUCAGUUUCUUUUAC